UACGUAGGGGGCAAGCGUUGUCCGGAUUUAUUGGGCGUAAAGAGCGUGUAGGCGGCUUCACAGGUCCGCUGUGAAAACUCGAGGCUCAACCUCGAGAUGUCGGUGGAAACCGUGUGGCUAGAGUCCGGAAGAGGAGAGUGGAAUUCCCGGUGUAGUGGUGAAAUGCGUAGAGAUCGGGAGGAACACCUGUGGCGAAGGCGGCCCCCUGGGCCGGCCCUGACACUGAGACGCGAAGGCGUGGGGAGCGAACGGG
rnacentral:rRNA from 1 species